rnacentral:rRNA from 1 species
GACGAACGCUGGCGGCGCGCCUAACACAUGCAAGUCGAACGGAGCUGAGAGAAGCUUGCUUUUCUUAGCUUAGUGGCGAACGGGUGGGUAACGCGUGAUUAACCUGCCCUGGAGUGGGGGACAACAGUUGGAAACGACUGCUAAUACCGCAUAAUCCCACGAUCCGGCAUCGGCUUGCGGUAAAAGGAUUUAUUCGCUUCAGGAUGGACUCGAGUCCAAUUAGCUAGUUGGUGAGGUAACGGCCCACCAAGGCGACGAUUGGUAGCCGGACUGAGAGGUUGAACGGCCACAUUGGGACUGAGACACGGCCCAGACUACUACGGGAGGCAGCAGUGGGGGAUAUUGCACAAUGGGGGAAAGCCUGAUGAAGCGACGCCGCGUGGAGGAAGAAGGUUUUAGGAUUGUAAAGUCCUGUCGUUAGGGACGAUAAUGACGGUACCUAACAAGAAAGCACCGGCUAACUACGUG